AUUGUUUUGAUUAAAGAAAGCUCUUGGCAAACCUCCACCACCAAAACAAAAGGAAAAAACAAUAUUAUAAUGUUCAAACUAUCCCACUUGCAGCCAAAUAUCUCUCCAAGUUCAAUGUUUUGUCCCAUCAUCCUCCAAAUGCCAUAUUUACCAUAUUUAGCCCGAAUGGCACAUUUUAGGUGUAAACAGUUUGUGUAUUUAUUUAACAGCGGAAGCAUAGACAGAUGACAAACCCAAAACGGGUUGAUGGUUUUGUCUCCAACCACAUACCCCGCCUUUCAUCUACUGUAGAAUUUGUAAGAAGAGCGACGACCACAUGACUAAGCAAUGCCCACGUUUUGGCAUGUGCUACCCUCCAUUCGAAUAGUUGAUUCCCUGAACUGUGCUCUCCUUAUUGUGCACCAUUUUGUAUGCAUCACUUUGGUAAAAAAUUUAUUUGAAGGAAGUGGCCAAGAGUUCAAACGUUGGAUUGCAUAUGCAAAGUUCACAUUAGCAUAUGCAUCACUUUUCUAUCUGUGCAAGCAAGCUAAAAUGGGCGGCCAUGGAUAUAACUUAAAAGAUUGGAUGGUCGGGUUUGGUCGAAUGUGCCGAGGAGUCAAAUGCGAUAAUAGUUGAGCUUGAUUGAAUCUGUUGUGAUUCCAGUGCUGGUUGUGGUAUCAGUUUAUUACAGUGAGCCAAGUUACCUGAGGUUUAUGAAGGCUAAUAUGAUAAAGGCUAAUAUGAAAGACAAUAGAGAUUAUUGUAUAAGUGUAUAAGAUUUAAAGGCUAAUAUGAUAAAUUAAUUUAGUUAUGAUUCUCUUGAAAGUGAUUAUAUGGUACAAAGUUUCAAAGGGUUCAUUCAAAUGCAUUUCACAGAACAUGAUAUUUGUCAACUGUUGUUUAUUGAGAUUGCUGAUGUGGUUGUCUUCUUUAUUUGUCAGUGCAUAUUUCCUUUAAUGCUAUUUGAAUAUUUCUUUUUGCUUGCUGCUGUAGUCCUCCUUGGGUUGUCUGAAUAGUGUGGCAUGUCUUACAUUUUGACGAUAAGACUGUAAGACAUGUAACACAUUGUUGUAUGUUAAACAUCACAAAAGGAAGGAGUGUUGACUAUCUUCCUUUUCUUUGUUAACUUUUCUGUUUGAUUGGAUUUGGGUUUCUUUGGAAUUUUAUUUUGUGAUUGACGGUUUACUGAUUGAUUUGUCGGAAAUUGGGUUUCUACUUCUAAUUUGAAAGUGGGGUUUUCUUAAUUUCCUUUUUGUUUCCCCUGUUGUUGUUUAUCUUCCUCAAAGUUGCUGUGUUAUGGGGAUUUUGUACACGUCUGAGUCGGGGGUGGGAGGGGAAUUGUAAGAUAGAUAGUCCUUUGCUCUUGUGGUGUCUGAAGGAGUAGGGACAAAUUUAAAACUCUUUUGUUGUUUAUGUUUGUGAAAUUGCAGCUCCAAUCAAAAGUUGCUUGCUUUUAUCAUUGCUUUGACUGUAUGAGAACGUUUCAAUGUCAAUUUCAAUUGUACUCAUAAACUCCUCUUGUUAAAGGAUCUGUUUAUAUAGAUAAAAGGUUUGUUAUGAAGUAUGUGAAAUGAAACCUUGAUCUUCAAAGUAUGGAGUUUAAUUCAUUAUGUAGUUACACGUAUGCAGAUAUCUGAACUUGUGUGGAAGCUAAUCCAACAUUUUGAUGUGGUUUUCUUAUUUUCUUUGUUUUUCAUAAUCUUGUUUGACAUAUUAUCUACUUGUGAUGGGAAUUUUUUAAUUACCUGCUUUAUUCUUUUAUCUUGAAAACAGAGGAUGCCCACUACGGUUGUAGUUAUUCUAGUUAAUGAGGGCGCCAUAUUUGCAGUGGAUACUAGGGGUUUCUACGAGAAUAGUGAAACUGAAUCUCAUGGAUAUCAUGAUGAGGGUCAUGAGUUUAACUAAGACUAUUUGGUUUGAAUUGUGGGAUACAAAGAAAAUUGAAGUAUGUUUGAAUAUUUGGAUAAACAUGUGCGAAGCCUUUUGAAACAGGUAAUGCACCUUAUAUAUAUUAUAUUAUAUUACAAUGUCAUCUGACUUUGAAUUAAUGUAGGACAUAAACCAUACUAUUGAAUGAGUCGCAACGGAAUCACUUCCUACAAAAAAGUUGGCAAUUUCAAAGACAUCUCCCUGUAUUAUCUAUGAAUCGCAUAGUUUCCGUUGCGAAUCCUUCAACGAUAAGGUUUAUGUCCUACAUUAAUUCAAAGUCUCAUUAUCUUAUAAUAUAUAUAUAUAUAUAUAUAUAUAUAUAUAGCUAUAAGGUGCAUUACCUGUUUUAAAAGGCUUUUGCACAUGUUUAUCCAAAUGUUCAAACAAACUUCGAUUAUUUCCUCGUGUCCCACACUUCAAACUAAAUAGUCUUGAGUUAAACUCAUAUCCUCAUCAUGAUAUAAUGAGAUUUAGUUUCAUUAAUCUCGUAGAAACCCCUAGUAUCCACUGCAAAUGUAUGGUGCCCUCAUCAACUAGAAUAACUGCAACCGUAGUGGGCAUCCUCUGUUUUCAAGAUAUCACAAGCAGAUAAUAUGUCAAACAAGAUUAUGAAAAACAAUAAGAAAACCAUAUCAAAAUGUUGGAUUAGCUUCUACACAAGUUCAGAUAUUUAUAUCUAAUCGUUAAAUUUAUUGAUACAGGUCAAAUCUGACUUAAAAUAUAGUUUCAAAAAAUUUAUUUUCAAUGUGAUUAUAUUUGAUAAUAACCUUAUCGCAUUAACAAAACAUAUUAUUUACGAGUAAUGGUACACAUACCACAUUCACGUGUUAGUAAAAAAAAAUUUCAAAAUCCAAUGCGAUUAUACCUUUACCAAAAACAGAAAUUAAAAAUAAUAAUGAAAAAGGGAAAAACAAACCCUUAUCAUCACAAUUCACAAGGCCAGGCUCCCCACCGGAAUCUCCUCUCUUUCGCACACAGCCAUGAGCCAGAGCGGUAACGAGUCCGAGCGCCAGAGCAAGAAACAAAAACUCUUGAGUCCAGAUCCAGAAUCCCUCCAGGGCCAUAUCCCGGACUUACCACCGAACGCAGACGAGCUGCGCAAGCGGGGGAAGCUCAUAUGGCACUGGGACGAUAGCGAUGAUGAUGAAUUCGAGGACUUCCCCCCGGGAAAGGUUUAUUUUGCUAUCGAGGAAAACUAUAAUGCUCGAAUGACCGCGAAAAAAGAAUUGAGUGAGAUAAGGGCACGAAGAUCAUCCCUCAAAGAAAGGAAGAACACCAGUAUGUCCCCCGAAUUAACAAGACUAGUCAGCGGAAGCACAGACAGAUGACAAACCAAAAACGGGUCGAUGGUUUUUGUCUCCAACCACAUAUCCCCGCCUCCCAUCUACUGUAGAAUUUGUAAGAAGAGCGAUGACCACAUGACUAAGCAAUGCCCGCGUUUUGACUCUUCAACUGUUGUUCAUGACGUGAGAUGUCGACUCUGUUUGAGGGAGGAUCAUGUGGUUACAAUUUGUCCGUACCGGUACUAUGUCCCAAAGGGUGAAAAAGUUGGCCCCGGCGGUAAACUCGUUUGCAUAUGUUGUCAAAAAGAGGGUGGCCAUCCUGGUGAGGAAUGGGUAGGAAAAGCUGUUGGUAAUUAUUGCAGGAUUUGUUCUUCUACUUAUGACCACAGGACUGAAGACUGCCCCGUGAAAAAGGGAAGAGAGAUAGUAGGAGGCAAGUUCCAAUCGGCUAUGGUUGACUCGUGAACAGAAAUGUAUUUAAUUGGGUAGAACUGAGUUCAUGCUGGAUCAGGUUAUAUGAUAUGUAGUGUUCAUUUAUGUUAUGGUAUGUUAUAUAUGGUGUGCUUAUUUCCUAGAUGGAAAUGCAAAACUGAGUUCGUGAGAAUAUGUUUUAAAAGUCUAUAUAUAAUAUUAUGAAAUAAAAUCUUAUAAGCUUAACCUC